rnacentral:lncRNA from 10 species
GGAUGAGGCAGGAGAAUCACUGAACGUGGGAGGUGGAGGUUGCAGUGAGCCAAGAUUGCGCCAGUGCACUUCUGCCUAGGUGACAGUGAGACUCCAACUCAAGAAAAAAAAAAAAGUAGAGCUUGUGAAGUGUUUAUGAUCAGUUUUAGUGUCACAUGUACAGAUCAGUAAUGUAAUCAUUAUAAUACUAUGUCUGGUCUACGGCUGGGCGCGGUGGCUCACGCUUGUAAUCCCAGCACUUUGGGAGGCUGAGGCAGGCAGAUUGCCUGAGGUCAGGAGUUCGAGAUCAGCCUGGCCAACAAAGUGAAACCCCGUCUCUACUAAAAAUACAAAAAUUAGCUGGGAGUGGUGGCACGCUCCUGUAAUCUCAGCUACUCGGGAGGCUGAGGCAGGAGAAUCGCUUGAACCUGGGUGGUGGAGGUUGUAGUAAGCCGAGAUCACUACAGCCUGGGCAACAGAGCGAGACUGCCUCAAAAAAAAAAAAAAGCAUUAAAUUUCAUUUUAUUUUCAUUUUUCCCUUUAUUUUUUCAUUUUUUAGUUGUGAAAGUAGUUCGUAUAUAUUUAGAAAAAUGUUUACUUUUAAUAAACUAUUCAUUUAAUAAAUGUAUUAACUGAGCACUAAAUAAUGCUCAAAGGAUCAUAGAUUUUUUUCCUCCACACUAAGCCCAUGGGACAUGAAGAAUAUCUGGGUGCUUCCAGGAUAUAAGGAAGGAAUGUGCCUUUUCCCACUCCUGGCCUUUGGGUACUGUCCUGAGCAUGGGAUGCUGGGGCAGGGGCUGCCUUGGCCAUCUUGCCAUCUGCAUGGCAGUGGCAGAGGAUAGCUGAGGGAAAGGACUAGAGAGCCCUGGAGCUGCCGCCUUGCUCUGUGAGAAGCCCCUUCCAAUGGAGAUUUGAAUUACUUGCAACUUGUUGGCCUGCCUCUCCACCCCACCCCCAUCUGUUCCCUAGCUCUCAACUUUGGCUGCACACUGGAAUCUCCUACUCAUGCUCCCUGACUAUGCCCUCACAGAUUCUGAUUUGACUGGUCCUGGGUGCAACGGGGCUGGCAUGAGACGACUAAAAACUCCCCAGGUGAAUCCAAUGAGCAACCAGGCUAAGGACCAGUGAUCUAACUGUAAGUCAUUCUCUUCUUUUCCCUUUGUAAUUUUAUGUUUCCACCUCAUACUGUGGUUGGCUACAUCUGUUUCUUCCCUCUCCUACUAGAAUGUAGGCUCCAGAUGGCCUUCCAAACAAUACAUGUGGCCCUUCACGCUCCAGGUGAUGACAAGUACCCGUUGCUGAUGGAAGUAGCAGAGUCAUACCUUUCUUGGAAUUUAGGUUCUACAGUCAAUGCUUAUGGCACCCAAUGAGUCAAAAACACCCUUGGCAACUCCUAAGGAAGGCUCUGCCCUGGAACCUGAUGUACUGUUUCCCCAUCACCAUCCAGGGAGAGUUUCCUCCUGGGCCGGAACAGAAAGCUGCCUCCUCCAUCAGGCACCAGAGGAAGUAGGGGGCUUCUGUUUAGGGACCACUUUGCAUAAAUACACAUUUAAACAUGUGCCUCACCCUCAGCACAGCAGGAUGCUCACGCCAUGAACAGCCAACAGGAACCAGAGUGACCGACCCUCCAGGAGGUACACACCUCCCUCCCAUCCCACCCACUUCUGAGCAUAUGGUUCUCACAUCCACCAGUGGGUGGAAUCACCCACACCAUUUAAACUUUUUGUCAAGGAUGUAGAGCUGAAUUCAUGUGAUUUCCCACAUGAGCAAUGUCCCUCCCUCCACUGCACAAUUAUAGCCAGCUCAAGCAGGUCCUCUCCUUCCUUCUACCUGCCCUGCAAAUGGCUCUCUCCUUCACUGACCCCCCGCCCUCCUUCUUAAAGGCUGAUGCUCCCUAGGACUCUAUCCUUGAUGCUUCUCAUUAAUUCUUCUCCCCGCUGGCUCUCAGCCCUACUUAGGGCUCCUGAUCAGUUAAAAAAGACCCAUGAGACCUCCCCUCCCCAGUUAACAGAGAUGUGGCCCAAGAGGCUCCCCACUUCUAAUUUGAGUGGGGGCAAAAGAAGAGAAAGAUCUUAUCUAGGUCUUGGGGGCAGGGCUUGCAGGGCACAAAGAAACAGAGUAAAUGUGCAACAGGCUAUUUUCUUGAAUGAAUGGAUUCAUAAUAAGAACAGGACUUCACCAGCUUCCAAGGGACCCUCCCCACCUCUCGGAUAUAUUCUGAAGCCUAAAUUUCACCUGCUUAUCUAGGAUCCUAGGCCAGGCCUUCUGCCACACCAAGCCACACCAACUCUGAGUCCAAGAGGGAAGGACUG